rnacentral:rRNA from 1 species
UUUUCGGACAACGGAUAUAGAGGACAGUGGCGGACGGGUGAGUAACGCGUGAGGAACCUGCCUUUCAGAGGGGGACAACAGUUGGAAACGACUGCUAAUACCGCAUGACACAUAGGUGUCGCAUGGCCUUAAUGUCAAAGAUUUAUCGCUGAAAGAUGGCCUCGCGUCUGAUUAGAUAGUUGGUGAGGUAACGGCCCACCAAGGCGACGAUCAGUAGCCGGCCUGAGAGGGUGAACGGCCACAUUGGGACUGAGAUACGGCCCAAACUCC